rnacentral:rRNA from 1 species
GAUGAACGCUGGCGGCGUGCCUAAUACAUGCAAGUCGAGCGAACAGACGAGGAGCUUGCUCCUCUGACGUUAGCGGCGGACGGGUGAGUAACACGUGGAUAACCUACCUAUAAGACUGGGAUAACUUCGGGAAACCGGAGCUAAUACCGGAUAAUAUAUUGAACCGCAUGGUUCAAUAGUGAAAGACGGUUUUGCUGUCACUUAUAGAUGGAUCCGCGACGCAUUAGCUAGUUGGUAAGGUAACGGCUUACAAAGGCAACGAUGCGUAGCCGACCUGAGAGGGUGAUCGGCCACUAUGGAACUGAGAAACGGUCCAGACUCCUACGGGAGGCAGCAGUAGGGAAGCAUCCGCAAUGGGCGAAAGCUUGACGGAGCAGCGCCGCGUGAGUGAUGAAGGUCUUCGGAUCGUAAAACUCUGUUAUUAGGGAAGAACAAAUGUGUAAGUAACUAUGCACGUCUUAACGGUACCUAAUCAGAAAGCCACGGCUAACUACGUG